rnacentral:ncRNA from 2 species
GAUGGCAUAGGAAGCACUGAACUGUCACCUGUACAUGGUCACUUGGGUGGCGGGGAGCCAAUAGUGAAACCGACCUGACAAU